UUAGGAAUAUUGCGCAAUGGGCGAAAGCCUGACGCAGCGACGCCGCGUGGGUGAGGAAGGCCUUCGGGUUGUAAAGCCCUUUUAGUGGGGACGAAAAAAAUGACGGUACCCACAGAAAAAGUACCUGCUAACUCUGUGCCAGCAGCAGCGGUAAUACAGAGGGUGCGAGCGUUAUUCGGAUUUACUGGGCGUAAAGCGCAUGUAGGCGGUUUGGUUAGUCUGAUGUGAAAGCCCCCGGCUCAAUCGGGGAAGUGCAUUGGAUACUGCCAGACUAGAGUAUGGGAGAGGAGAACGGAAUUCCCGGUGUAGAGGUGAAAUUCGUAGAUAUCGGGAGGAACAACAGAGGCGAAGGCGGUUCUCUGGACCGUAACUGACGCUGAGGUGCGAAAGCGUGGGGAGCAAACAGG
rnacentral:rRNA from 1 species